rnacentral:misc_RNA from 1 species
UCCGACUUGACGUCGGCAGUCUCCUUAGAGUUCCCAGCAUAACCUGAUGGCAACUAAGGACAAGGGUUGCGCUCGUUGCAGGACUUAACCUAACAUCUCACGACACGAGCUGACGACAGCCAUGCAGCACCUAUACUCCGCUCCCCGAAGGGAUAGCCCACUUUCAUGGGUUUACAGAGCACUUCGAGCCCAGGUAAGGUUCUUCGCGUUGCAUCGAAUUAAACCACAUGCUCCACCGCUUGUGCGGGCCCCCGUCAAUUCCUUUGAGUUUCACCCUUGCGAGCGUACUCCCCAGGUGGGUCACUUAAUGCGUUAGCGUCGUUGCCGAAGGGGUCGAAUCCCCCGACAACUAGUGACCAUCGUUUAUGGUGUGGACUAC